rnacentral:lncRNA from 1 species
CUAGUUUAGGCAGUAGUGGUGUUUAAUAUGUACUGCUUACGUUAUUGCUUGUGCAUUUGCUUAAGUAUUUGAAUCAAAGAAAUUGUAAUGGCCGAGUAUUGUUAUAAAACAUUUAAAUGAAUUGCCACUGAGAAGUUUACAAGUUUAUAUUAGAUUUACUGAAGUUUCCCAAAUAUGUUACUGUUGGUCCCAUAAGUUACAAUAGAGAGACUAAAGAAAUUUCUUUUAUCUUGGUAUAGAUAAGAGCAUUUCCCUUGAAUGAAUGUUGAUUAAAAAUAUAACAUUUGUUAACUAUGACAGCAAUUAAAAUUUCUCCCAUGUAUUUUUGAGACUCUCUCUCAACAUCCUAAGGUAUUAAUUUUGACUUAGUAAAAUCAUUUCUUCUUUCUCCUUCUAUAAAACUAGCUUUUAGUUAUUUCAUAGAGAACUUAGCACACUUGAGAGUUUGUCAUAUUAUGCCCAUAUUUUUAAAAUAUUCACUGACACUUUGAAUCUUAGGGAGGUCUUAAAGAAGAUUUCCCCCCCUGAAUAUAGAACAAAAUAUUUUUUAAUGGUAUAGAAGUAUGUUUUCUUGUCCUUUGUGAUAAAUAUAUGAACAAAUGGGUAGUUUGUAUGAAUAAGGGUCUGGAGUAUAUUAGAUACUUUCACAGUUGUUUUAAUUUUGUGUGUAAAUUAUAUACCACUUAGAGUGGCUGGCUCAGUAUAACAAUGGAUUAGAUUUGUUGAUUUUGCUCCUAAAGUGUUCUUUAUUCAUUUUGGGAGUGAGUUAUCCAAAAGGAUCAUGAAAUAUUGCUGUAAUAUUUUUUGAGUAUGUAGCUCC